rnacentral:lncRNA from 1 species
CUUUGGUGACUUGUCCACUCCAGUGUGGCAUCAUGUGGCAGCUGCUCCUCCCAACUGCUCUGCUACUUCUAGUUUCAGCUGGCAUGCGGACUGGUGAGUCAGCUUCAUGGUCUUGGAUUGACCCAGUGGGGCACAUAUGGGGACAAUGGCCAUAAGAUAUUGGGAAAUGCUUGUUGAAUGGGAAAAUGCUGAUGUGGGGUUAGCAGGGAUAGUUCCUCCAACACAGCAGAACUUGGCCCUGUGCUUCUCUGGCCAGCUUUCCUUAAGAUACUGAACAGGCCAAAAAUGGGGCCAAGAUGCUCUAAGACUGAGCCACCAAGCAUGGGUUUGCAAUGAGCUCAUUCUGGCUUUGAGGCUCCCUGGGAAUGGCAGUGUAGAGCCUGCUCCUCUCCCUGUCCUCACCCCACAUUAUCUUGGCUCCUCAGAAGAUCUCCCAAAGGCUGUGGUGUUCCUGGAGCCUCAAUGGUACAGCGUGCUUGAGAAGGACAGUGUGACUCUGAAGUGCCAGGGAGCCUACUCCCCUGAGGACAAUUCCACACAGUGGUUUCACAAUGAGAACCUCAUCUCAAGC